UUGGCAUGCACCUCCUCUCAGCUCGUCAGUAAAGUCUUCAGCCUGACUCUCAACCUGCUGUCGUCCUGGUAAGUUUCCUGGGCGUUGACUCCAAUUGAACCGCAGGCUUCACCCCUUGUGGUGCUCCCCCGCCAAUUCCUUUAAGUGAACUGUGCGUUCAGAAUGUAUCUGAACGCAAUUCAGCCUUGCGACCGUACUCCCCAGGCGGUGAGCUUAACGGCUUCCCUGCGACACUUCGAUCGCGAACUGCGAUCGAAUCAUCUAGCUCGCAUCGUUUACGGCUGGGACUACCCGGGUAUCUAAUCCGGUUCGCUCCCCCAGCUUUCACCCCUCACCGUCGAGCGCGUUCUGGCGGACCUCCUUCGCCACUGGUGGUCUUCCGCGGAUCAAAGGAUUUUACCCCUACACGCGGAGUACCGUCCGUCUCUCCCGCCUCCUAGUCCCGCAGUAUCCUCUGCAGACCAGCCGCUGAGCGACUGGAUUUAACAGAAGACUUACGGAACCGGCUACGGGUGCUUUAGGCCCCAAUAAUCGUUCCGAUCACUCGCGGACCUGGUAUUACCGCGGCGGCUGACACCAG
rnacentral:rRNA from 1 species